UGGGGAAUAUUGCACAAUGGAGGGAACUCUGAUGCAGCGACGCCGCGUGAACGAAGAAGGCUUUCGAGUCGUAAAGUUCUUUUAUAUGGGAAGAUAAUGACGGUACCAUAAGAAAAAGCCCCGGCUAACUACGUGCCAGCAGCCGCGGUAAUACGUAGGGGGCUAGCGUUGUCCGGAAUCACUGGGCGUAAAGGGUUCGCAGGCGGAAAUGCAAGUCAGGUGUAAAAGGCAGUAGCUUAACUAUUGUAAGCAUUUGAAACUGCAUAACUUGAGAAGAGUAGAGGUAAGUGGAAUUUUUAGUGUAGCGGUGAAAUGCGUAGAUAUUAAAAAGAAUACCGGUGGCGAAGGCGGGUUAAUGGGCUCAUUCUGACGCUGAGGAACGAAAGCGUGGGUAGCAAACAGG
rnacentral:rRNA from 1 species